rnacentral:rRNA from 1 species
UACGGAGGGGGCAAGCGUUGUUCGGAAUUACUGGGCGUAAAGGGCUCGUAGGCGGCCAACUAAGUCAGACGUGAAAUCCCUCGGCUUAACCGGGGAACUGCAUCUGAUACUGGAUGGCUUGAGUUCGGGAGAGGGAUGCGGAAUUCCAGGUGUAGCGGUGAAAUGCGUAGAUAUCUGGAGGAACACCGGUGGCGAAGGCGGCAUCCUGGACCGAUACUGACGCUGAGGAGCGAAAGCCAGGGGAGCAAACGGG